GUGUGUGUGUGUGUGUGUGUGUGUGUGUGUGUGUAUAUAUCUAUCUAUCUAGAUAUAGAUAUAUAAACACACACACACGCGCGCGCACACACACACACUG